GACGAACGCUGGCGGCGUGCUUAACACAUGCAAGUCGAACGGAAAGGCCUGCUUUCCCUUGUGGAUUGCGGGUACUCGAGUGGCGAACGGGUGAGUAACACGUGAGUGAUCUGCCCCCAACUUGGGUAUAAGCCUGGGAAACUGGGUCUAAUUCCCGAUAGGACUGCAGGGUGGUGCCUGUGGUGGAAAACGAUUUUCUAGUGGUUGGGGAUGAGCUCGCGGCCUAUCAGCUUGUUGGUGGGGUAAUGGCCUACCAAGGCGGCGACGGGUAGCCGGCCUGAGAGGGUGGACGGCCACAUUGGGACUGGGGUACGGCCCAGACUCCUACGGGAGGCAGCAGUGGGGAAUAUUGCACAAUGGGCGGAAGCCUGAUGCAGCGACGCCGCGUGGGGGAUGACGGCCUUCGGGUUGUAAACUCCUUUCGACCGCGAGGAAGCCACCUGGUUGGAAGGGUGGUGACGGUAGUGGUAGAAGAAGCACCGGCUAACUACGUG
rnacentral:rRNA from 1 species